rnacentral:rRNA from 1 species
GAUGAACGCUGGCGGCGUGCCUAAUACAUGCAAGUCGAGCGAACGGACGAGAAGCUUGCUUCUCUGAUGUUAGCGGCGGACGGGUGAGUAACACGUGGAUAACCUACCUAUAAGACUGGGAUAACUUCGGGAAACCGGAGCUAAUACCGGAUAAUAUUUUGAACCGCAUGGUUCAAAAGUGAAAGACGGUCUUGCUGUCACUUAUAGAUGGAUCCGCGCUGCAUUAGCUAGUUGGUAAGGUAACGGCUUACCAAGGCAACGAUGCAUAGCCGACCUGAGAGGGUGAUCGGCCACACUGGAACUGAGACACGGUCCAGACUCCUACGGGAGGGAGCAGUAGGGAAACUUCCGCAAUGGGCGAAAGCCUGGCGGAGCAACGCCGCGUGGGUGAUGAAAGUCUUCGGAUCGUAAAACUCUGUUAUUAGGGAAGAACAUAUGUGUAAGUAACUGUGCACAUCUUGAAGGUACCUAAUCAGAAAGCCACGGCUAACUACGUG